rnacentral:rRNA from 1 species
CGACCCUACGGGAGGCAGCAGUAGGGAAUCUUCCACAAUGGGGGAAACCCUGAUGGUGCGACGCCGCGUGGGGGAAUGAAGGUCUUCGGAUUGUAAACCCCUGUCAUGUGGGAGCAAAUUAAAAAGAUAGUACCACAAGAGGAAGAGACGGCUAACUCUGUGCCAGCAGCCGCGGUAAUACAGAGGUCUCAAGCGUUGUUCGGAAUCACUGGGCGUAAAGCGUGCGUAGGCUGUUUCGUAAGUCGUGUGUGAAAGGCGCGGGCUCAACCCGCGGACGGCACAUGAUACUGCGAGACUCGAGUAAU